AUAUGUUACACGCUAUGAAACGCGAAUUUAUGUGGGAAACGUGAUGAUUUAUGUGAUGGAUGAAGUGGAAAUGUUAAUCGUCAUGUGGGAUUGUUGUGUUGGAUAUCAUUGUUAUUGUUAUGAUUAGACUUGUUGAUAAAUUUGGCUCGAGAAUUGUAUUGUACAUCGUUGGUUCUUUGAAAUGAUAUAUGUUGUGAAUUGCGGUAUCAUGUUGUGACAUAAUUGACUAUAUAUUGAUGGAGGGGAAAUCAUGAUUUUCAGAUGGGUUGUUAUGUAACCCUGAGUCAAGUAAUUUCAUGCUUGUCGAGUUCUAUUGAUUGAUUGAGAAACAUUAUACCUUUCGACUUAAUUGGACUGUGUUAUAUGUCAAUUAUUGUGCAUGACGAACUACGAAUGGCUUGAUCCCUGUUUAGGGUACGUAGGCAGUCUAACGGGGAGGUUAGAUGCAGCCAUAAAGCAUACGAAAAAUAACUAUGUGAUUCGAUUAUUGAGUUGUGCUUGCCCAUAUCCCGGAGGUGAGAUAGAAUAGAUACGGAUUUUUGGUGAUGUCACGUGUCAAUUCUGGACGUAUGUCGGGAUUGGGGCGUGACAAUAAGUGACUAGGCACUUAAACAUACCCACCCUUGCCACCUCCAGGUUCCAUGUUGCACCAUUAAUUACCAAUAAAAUUGGCAUCUAAAACUCUAAAUAAAUAUUUAUUUUUAAAAUACGGGGUCUCACAAAGUUCUUCCAAGAAUGACUACACAAAAUAUAUGGAUGAACUUGCUCGUCAAGGUGAACUGAGCAUGGCACGAGAAGCGGCUAGAGAUGAGGUAAAAGCUGUGACUAUGCAAGCAAUCUUAGCAGUUACUGAGAAACGUGAUGUGGCUCAUCGAGAAAUGGAGAUGCUUAAAGAAGAAAGGAUGGCUCAAGCUGAUCGUGAUACUAUGAACAAGCCUCUAGAAGGAAUGUCUCCAAAUUUUAAAUUUUUUUGGACAUAAAAAAAGAUGACGUGGUACAAUGGAGGCAUGCAAGAAACGAGGGAACAAGUGGAGGGGGUUCUAGCUACACAAAUCUUAGCAACGAAGAUCCUAGCACACAUAUCCUAGCUCCUCAGACUUUUUACAAGUGGAGUAGCACCUCGUCAAACACUGGAGAUUAGGCAAGGACAUUGAAGUCAUUUUGAGCUCUUGGAGAACUGAAAAAAGCAUAUCAAAUCCAUGUAUCAAAUGAUGCCAUUGCUUCCAAAAUGAUACUUUUGGCUCAUUUUAUGUCGACAUAAGCUCCUUGCCACUCACUUGGACAGUUUUUCCAGGUUCAAGUGCAUACAGUCGAUGCUUCCAAUCAUGCUAGGAAAGUCCUCACAUCUCACCCUUCUUCAAAAGCUUUUGCAUGUCCAUUUUCGUGGGUUUCCGGAGGUACUCAUUGCUGUACAAGGCUUCGAUUGCGGAGCAAGACCUUAUCAGGGACUCCAGAACAGUUGAUUUUCUCAUCCUUGCUAUCUCAUCCACUUGAUCUGCAGAUGCUCCGUAUGUAAGCACCCACAAGGCAGGAUUAAUUUUUUGCUCAGGAAGAAGGCCUAGAACAUGAAACGCAUCAUUUUUUUGCACAACAGUAUGGAUCAUGGUUGCAAUUAGUAAUCAUGAUUUUGUUUAACAAACUUCGUUGCAUUCUAAAACGACGUCUAAAAUAUGAUCAGGGAAUAAACUAUUAGGGAUAAAA